UACGUAGGGAGCAAGCGUUGUUCGGAUUUACUGGGCGUAAAGGGCGCGUAGGCGGCGCGGUAAGUCACUUGUGAAAUCUCUGAGCUUAACCCAGAACGGUCAGCUGAUACUGCGGGGCUAGAGUGCAGAAGGGGCAACUGGAAUUCUCGGUGUAGCGGUGAAAUGCGUAGAUAUCAGGAGGAACACCAGCGGCGAAGGCGGCGCUCGUGGGCCGGAUACUGACGCUGGAGGAGCGAAAGCGUGGGGAGCAAACAGG
rnacentral:rRNA from 1 species